UUGUCCUACGGGAGGCAGCAGUGGGGGAUAUUGCACAAUGGGGGAAACCCUGAUGCAGCGACGCCGCGUGAGUGAAGAAGUAUUUCGGUAUGUAAAGCUCUAUCAGCAGGGAAGAAAAUGACAGUACCUGACCAAGAAGCCCCGGCUAACUACGUGCCAGCAGCCGCGGUAAUACGUAUGGGGCAAGCGUUAUCCGGAUUUACUGGGUGUAAAGGGAGCGCAGGCGGCUUGGCAAGUCUGAUGUGAAAGGCUGGGGCUCAACCCCAGGACUGCAUUGGAAACUGUUAGGCUGGAG
rnacentral:rRNA from 1 species